AAAGCUAUCCACAUCAGCAAAAAAAUUCAACCAAUUAAAUGUUUCUAUUUUGCCACGUUACAUCUUCUUUGUCGACAUGGAUCAAAUGUUUUGGUCUUCUAAAAUUUGGUUUCGGCCCAUUUAAAAACCAUGUUACACUUUCCGACAAAACCCACGCUUUCCCUUUUCAGUCAAUAGUCUCUUACGAUUCCUCUUUGUAGCCAUUGUUCUAUUCUUUCCGAAUCUCCGUUACUUGCAGUAACUAUCCACUCUAAAAUCAUUGCUUUUGCUCUUUACACCUUCUUACAAGAUGUAUCUUUCACCUCCUUUUGUUUUCCUCCUGUAUGAUCUAUUUCUCGAUUCUUAUUGUAUACCGUAAUCUACGAUUUUUUCAGUCGAAGAUCAAGCUGUAUCCAUGAGAUCUGCUAAGUCCUCCGGAAAGUUUUAUGUCGCUGUGUAUUUCACCAACAUCUCCUCGGGUACAGCGGAAUCUGAACUAGGCUUCCGGUUAAUCCGUUUCUGGGAGACGAUAAGCACAGCUAAAGGUGGUUUGCUUAUUGGCUUGGAGCUUCUCCUUACAGGCAAGCAGAAAUGGCUACGCACAACUCGAAAUCUACCGCAUCAAUAUUUUUCUCCCGUUCUUAGUGGUUUCGCAGCUGCGGUUUGGACAUAGCUGCAACAGUUAUCUUCUUUAAAAAAAAACAGCUGUGAUCAAGUCAAUUUUUCCAGGCAUCCAGAUGAUUAUUAAGAAAAAAAAUUGUUUGAGCUGGAAUCUGAAGUUUGUGUCCUGGAAAGCCUCUGGCAGCUGAAACUGGGGUAAAAUUCUGUAUUCUUUUAUCUUUAACUUGGAUGGGAGGUAUUAUUUUGUUGUUCAAAGAGUUGAAUCCAAACAGCCUUUAGGAGAAGAAGCAAAAAUUUACCUGAGAAAAGUUAUACAAGAGCUUUAUGUGUAGGUUUUUUUCUUAAAUACGUAGGUGAAACUCUGAACACCUUGCUCCUGCAAAAAGUCGCAUUUGAAUCUGUAAGUUGUGUACGCCUUGGUCCUGUUUAGUCUUUGCAUGUUUAAGAAAUUCAAACUGGCUUGAAGUUGACUGUUUACAGUCUCUUUAACCGCUGUAGUUAGUGUGAAGGUUUGUUGCUGAGUUUAUUGCAUAGAUCCAUUUUCAUGUGUGGAUUGUUUCAACAAACCAUCAUUAAGACUCUGUCUUGGCUACCCGCAAAUAGAUUGAGAAUUCACUUACAAACUCAAAGGAACAGCAAUGCUCUCUAUUCAGAGAUCAUGUUGAGAGAUCCCAGAGCUUUUUACACAGAUUUCUAUCAUGCUCGCUGGAACUGGAAGCACUGCUCUUUUCACUGUGAUUUGUAGCUUUGCUUCAAGGCGUGUACCCUUUUGCGCAAACAAGUUCUUCAAGACUGUACUUGGUUUCAGUUUGGUCAUACUGCUUUGGGCUGUGGAUAGACUCGGGAGGUGAUUACUUAGCGCAUACUUCUUCCAUGGGAAGACAUUCUGAUGUUUGAUUGUGUUCUUGCGAUCAAUGAGCCUUACUUAAUCAGCAGCUCCUGCUGGUUGUGGCUUCUAAGUUGGCAACAAGAACAAGAGUAAUCUCAGAGGAAGCAAAAGGCACGACCAAGUACUUUAUAUUCUUAUAAGAAACAUCUUUGCUCCUAUGUAAACUAUAUAUGUUUCUCCAAUGACAUGAAGAAUAUAUAAAUUGGUUUUUGUUUGUGUGAUCAGGAACAAACAAAAAUUUUGAAUAUAAAGCAUGUUACAGAAGACUUA